rnacentral:rRNA from 1 species
GAUUGAACUGAAGAGUUUGAUCCUGGCUCAGAUUGAACGCUGGCGGCAUGCCUUACACAUGCAAGUCGAACGGCAGCGGACCUUCGGGUGCCGGCGAGUGGCGAACGGGUGAGUAACAUAUCGGAACGUACCUUUCAGUGGGGGAUAACUGUCCGAAAGGACAGCUAAUACCGCAUAUUCUGUGAGCAGGAAAGCAGGGGAUCUUCGGACCUUGCGCUGAUUGAGCGGCCGAUAUCAGAUUAGCUAGUUGGUGAGGUAAAGGCUCACCAAGGCGACGAUCUGUAGCGGGUCUGAGAGGAUGAUCCGCCACACUGGAACUGAGACACGGUCCAGACUCCUACGGGAGGCAGCAGUGGGGAAUUUUGGACAAUGGGGGCAACCCUGAUCCAGCCAUGCCGCGUGAGUGAAGAAGGCCUUCGGGUUGUAAAGCUCUUUCGGCCGGGAAGAAAUCGCACGGGUUAAUACCCUGUGUGGAUGACGGUACCGGCAUAAGAAGCACCGGCUAACUACGUGCCAGCAGCCGCGGUAAUACGUAGGGUGCGAGCGUUAAUCGGAAUUACUGGGCGUAAAG